rnacentral:rRNA from 1 species
ACGGGUUAGUAACGCGUGGGAAUAUACCCUUCUCUACGGAAUAGCCUCGGGAAACUGAGAGUAAUACCGUAUAAGCCCUUCGGGGGAAAGAUUUAUCGGUGAAGGAUUAGCCCGCGUUAGAUUAGAUAGUUGGUGGGGUAAUGGCCUACCAAGUCUACGAUCUAUAGCUGGUUUGAGAGGAUGAUCAGCAACACUGGGACUGAGACACGGCCCAGACUCCUACGGGAGGCAGCAGUGGGGAAUCUUAGACAAUGGGCGCAAGCCUGAUCUAGCCAUGCCGCGUGAGUGACGAAGGUCUUAGGAUCGUAAAGCUCUUUCGCUAGGGAUGAUAAUGACAGUACCUAGUAAAGAAGCCCCGGCUAACUCCGUGCCAGCAGCCGCGGUAAUACGGAGGGGGCUAGCGUUGUUCGGAAUUACUGGGCGUAAAGCGUACGUAGGCGGAUCAGAAAGUAUGGGGUGAAAUCCCAGGGCUUAACCCUGGAACUGCCUCAUAAACUCCUGGUCUUGAGUUCGAGAGAGGUGAGUGGAAUUCCAAGUGUAGAGGUGAAAUUCGUAGAUAUUUGGAGGAACACCAGUGGCGAAGGCGGCUCACUGGCUCGAUACUGACGCUGAGGUACGAAAGUGUGGGGAGCAAACAGGAUUAGAUACCCUGGUAGUCCACACCGUAAACGAUGAAUGCCAGUCGUCGGGCAGUAUACUGU